rnacentral:rRNA from 1 species
UACGGAAGGUCCGGGCGUUAUCCGGAUUUAUUGGGUUUAAAGGGAGCGUAGGCUGCCCGGCAAGCGUGCUGUGAAAUACAGUGGCCCAACCACUGGACUGCAGCGCGAACUGUCGGGCUUGAGGGCGCACGACGCAGGCGGAAUUUGUGGUGUAGCGGUGAAAUGCUUAGAUAUCACGAAGAACCCCGAUUGCGAAGGCAGCUUGCGGGAGCGCGACUGACGCUGAAGCUCGAAAGUGCGGGUAUCAAACAGG